rnacentral:lncRNA from 1 species
AUCAUGGGCCAUAUUAACUAAAAACUUGAUGCAAAAAAAUAAUAAAAAAUAUCUUUCUUAUUAACUGGCCUCUAGUUAGCUGCCUAGGUGUAGGAGUUGGUAUGGUGUUCCCAAGCCUUGGGAGGCUACAGGAGGAGUUAGGAUGUUGGCUUCGGGAGGCUAGGAUCGGUUUGGGUCCUAGGACUAGGACAUGAGUGGUCUUAGGGUGGAGACAGUGUAUAGCUCUCCACGGGCUCAAGGUUUAGAUGAUGAGGACUUCGAGGGACUUGGUUGAAGCUUCGAAUAUCUGGUAACACAAGAUGGAGCAAGGAACCAGAGCCAGAGUUGAAGCUAUAGAGGAAUAAGUAGAUUUAGGAUGUUAGUC